rnacentral:rRNA from 1 species
ACUCUUAACGGCGGAUCACUUAGAUCAGGGGUCGAUGAAGACCGCAGCUAACUGCGCGUCGAAAUGUGAAUUGCAGGAUACAAUGAGCAUCG